rnacentral:misc_RNA from 1 species
AAUUUUGAAAGCAUAGGUCACGGUCAUGUGCUAUUCAUGAUAUAGAAACUAAUGCUGGAAACCAAUAGCAGAGGAAGAUCAAUAAGUUACUAUUCCUUGUGAGAAAUUAGUUCAACCAAUCUAUAAUCUCUCUCUCUUUUUUAUUCUGUAACUGCAAAUUUGCAUGAAAAAGCCAAAACGGCAUCAGAAUGGAGAUGGACCAAAGGCUCUCAGGAAUAACAUG